UCUAAUACCGGAUACGACCGGUGGCGGCAUGGUUGGUGGUGGAAAGCUCCGGCGGUGCAGGAUGAGCCCGCGGCCUAUCAGCUUGUUGGUGGGGUGAUGGCCUACCAAGGCGACGACGGG
rnacentral:rRNA from 1 species